UACGAAGGGUGCAAGCGUUAUUCGGAAUCAUUGGGCGUAAAGCGCGCGCAGGCGGAUUGAUAAGUCAGGUGUGAAAUCUCGAGGCUCAACCUCGAAACUGCGCCUGAAACUAUUAGUCUAGAGUGUCGGAGGGGGCAGGGGAAUUUCACGUGUAGGGGUAAAAUCCGUAGAGAUGUGAAGGAACACCGGGGGCGAAGGCGCCUGCCUGGACGACUACUGACGCUGAGGCGCGAAAGCGUGGGGAGCAAACAGG
rnacentral:rRNA from 1 species